GGGGAUAUAGCUCAGUUGGUAGAGUGCUUGCCUUGCAUGCACAAGACCCUGGGUUCAAUUCCCAGCACCACUG
rnacentral:tRNA from 1 species